UACAGAGGUCUCAAGCGUUGUUCGGAAUCACUGGGCGUAAAGGGUGCGUAGAUGGUUGAUAUAAGUCUUUUGUAAAAAUGCUAGGCUCAACCUAGUAGGGCAAAAGAUACUGAUGAACUAGAGUACGGCAGAGGCAAGUGGAACUACAUGUGUAGCGGUAAAAUGCGUAAAUAUAUGUAAGAACACCGGUGGCGAAGGCGGCUUGCUGGGCCUGUACUGACAUUGAGGCACGAAAGCGUGGGGAGCAAACAGG
rnacentral:rRNA from 1 species